rnacentral:rRNA from 1 species
GACGAACGCUGGCGGCGUGCUUGACACAUGCAAGUCGAACGGAAAAGCCUGCUUUCCCUUGUGGAUUGCGGGUACUCGAGUGGCGAACGGGUGAGUAACACGUGAGUGAUCUGCCCCCAACUUGGGUAUAAGCCUGGGAAACUGGGUCUAAUUCCCGAUAGGACUGCAGGGUGGUGCCUGUGGUGGAAAACGAUUUUCUAGUGGUUGGGGAUGAGCUCGCGGCCUAUCAGCUUGUUGGUGGGGUAAUGGCCUACCAAGGCGGCGACGGGUAGCCGGCCUGAGAGGGUGGACGGCCACAUUGGGACUGAGAUACGGCCCAGACUCCUACGGGAGGCAGCAGUGGGGAAUAUUGCACAAUGGGCGGAAGCCUGAUGCAGCGACGCCGCGUGGGGGAUGACGGCCUUCGGGUUGUAAACUCCUUUCGACCGCGAGGAAGCCACCUGGUUGGAAGGGUGGUGACGGUAGUGGUAGAAGAAGCACCGGCUAACUACGUG